CGAGUGGCGGACGGGUGAGGAAUACAUCGGAAUCUACUCUGUCGUGGGGGAUAACGUAGGGAAACUUACGCUAAUACCGCAUACGACCUACGGGUGAAAGCAGGGGAUCUUCGGAUCUUGCGCGAUUGAAUGAGCCGAUGUCGGAUUAGCUAGUUGGCGGGGUAAAGGCCCACCAAGGCGACGAUCCGUAGCUGGUCUGAGAGGAUGAUCAGCCACACUGGAACUGAGACACGGUCCAGACUCCUACGGGAGGCAGUC
rnacentral:rRNA from 1 species